rnacentral:tmRNA from 1 species
GGGAGUGAUUUGGCUUCGAUUGGAGUAGCAAGGGUUAGUUGCAUGUCGAUUUGAAUAUAUCGUAAAACUAUUCAACAGUUUUUAAACGCAAACAAUACAAAUUAUACUCCUGCUUACGCUAAAGCUGCGUAAGUUUAACAACUUGGAGGCUGCUAUUUGCUAAUUCUAUCUAGGUAGAUGUGCGGCUAAACAAAAGAUAGAUUUUUCUCUUAGUUGAUCGGCUAUUAGAAGAAAUUUAGAUCUUAGCUAUGGGGUGUUUUUGGGAAUUGUACUACCUUAAUAGCGAAUUUUAACAAUUCCAUCUAAACAUGUAGACGCUAAUUUGAGUUAUUUUAAGACACGGGUUCGACCCCCGUCACUUCCACCA